UACGUAGGGGGCAAGCGUUGUCCGGAAUCAUUGGGCGUAAAGAGCGUGUAGGCGGCUCGGUAAGUCUGCUGUGAAAGUCCAGGGCUCAACCCUGGAAGGCCGGUGGAAACUGUCGGGCUAGAGUCCGGAAGAGGCGAGUGGAAUUCCCGGUGUAGCGGUGAAAUGCGCAGAUAUCGGGAGGAACACCAAUGGCGAAGGCAGCUCGCUGGGACGGUACUGACGCUGAGACGCGAAAGCGUGGGGAGCAAACAGG
rnacentral:rRNA from 1 species